GCAAGCACCUUCCAACUGAUUCCUUUAUUAAGGCUGUAAGCUGUUCGGAUGCAAACAGCUGCUAGUGUGAGGAAGUAUUUUACCGCAUUAUAUCCUUGCAUUGAAUCUUUCUCUUCGAAGAGUCGCCUAAGGCACUGAUAGGAGAAAGAGGAAGAUCAUUUGGGGGCUAGGAAGCAAAAUUAACAACUGAUAAUUCUUUUUUUCUUUUUUUUGCGCAUAACUACUGAUAAUUCUGACGCAAGAAAAUUGGAUGUUUUCCUAUGUGUUUUUGUAUCUGUUCUGCUGUUCAGAUGCUUCUUUCUAAAAAGCGUCUUUGCUUCCUAGUAUGGAAGUCAAAUUCAUAUACAUAGCAGAACCAGGGAAUUCUACCUUAUUCUAUCUCUUUUAAGCGCCAUCUAGCAUCGUAUGAAGUGUCUGAGAGAGCGAGAGAGAGUUGGCACCUGAAGAAAACGACACAUGUACGGAAUCGCGGCAACAAUGAAGGAAAAUGUUUUGAAAAUGGCGUUUGAGUUGCAAGUGUUCCGUCUGUACUUGAAAUCUCCCCAAACGUAGUAGCAAAUGUAGAACUCUAAACUUCUGAAGGCUUGCACCUGGAUGCAUAAAAAGGAAUGAAAUGGGAUAUGUAAAGCGCUAGAGCAUUAUGAUAUCAUUUUUCUUUCUCACGAACCUGGCUUGUAAGUUGAUCUGCCAAGAAGAAAUCUGAGAACGUGACCUAGGGACCAUUGGAAGUAACACAGUUUAGAUUUCCGGAGAAAUAUAGAGUUAAAUUAGUGGGAAAUUUUUCUAAUUUUAUGUCUUCCCCCCAUAUUGUUUACCUUGUAGAGAGGAGCGCAAAUGCAGUGAAACAGGCAUGUAAGGAAGAAAAGCCGGCUUGGACGAUAAAAGAUGUUGAAUGGGCAUGAUAAAAUGGCAAAUACAAUCUGCAGAGGAAGGAACCAACUCAUAAUUUAAGUUUAGAAGCUAAAAGAAGAUCUAAUGAAUUCUAUGAAAGUGUAAUAGUCUUACAAGUAACAAGAUUAGAGGAACAAGUUCAGUGAAGACUUUGUAUGGUUUUGUCUUUGGAUCCAUCUCCAUGUCAAGGUUUGCAAGCACACUGGCUAGUGCCAUUAUUGCGAGGACAAAAGCCAGGAGCAGGACAUCAAAGUACUUCAACUCAGAGCCUUCCUUAAGACCGAAUAUGAAUGAGUGAUUCACUCUGUAGCGCCUCCAGAAGUAUAUAUUAGCAGCAUACAUAAGCAUGUGUAGAACUAUGAAUCCAAACAAACUGCAGAAAAUGUUUUUAACACGGUAAAGCACAGGCAUGAGUUUUUGUUCAUUAGAUGAAGCUUAGUUUUUGAAAGAAAAAUUCGGCACAAUAUAGUUGGAAUGAAUAGGUUACCUAUAAAGAGGAAACAUGGUUUCCAUGUAUUGGGUACUUCCCGGGUGAUUCAUAAUCUUGCGGGCAUCAAUGAUCAGACAAAGUGCUAUAACUAGGGCUGCUGUGCAUCCGGCAUAAAAACCUGAAAAUCCAAACAAGAGAAAAGUCGGGGAAUCAAAUCAAAGACCAAACAUCAUGUUGUUCUGAAAAUUUCUGAACUAUAGUAAAUCACAGCUCUUACCCACAGAAAAUGUUAUUCCAUGCCUUGCUCUUUUCGGUUUGGGUUGGAGAAGGUUCAAUCCAUUGUUACGAUUUGAGUUCGAGAAGUGCUUAAUGAAUGUUUUCUCCACCCUUUCUAUAAGCCUAGUGACCUGUGCAGGAACGUCGAGAAAUUGUAAGGAUCUUAGAAGUCUGCUGAUUCAUGUUGACAAUUUUUGGAAAAUAUUGAAGUUGUGCUUUAUGGCUUUCUUUCCUUAUAAAGCUCUCACCUCAUCAGAGCUGCCGAGAGUAAUUGAGGAUGCUCUUUAUAGUUGAACGAGGAGUUUCAAGAGUGCCAUUCAACUGAACAUGGUCAAGGACUUCCAAAGGAGCUGGUUUGGUACUCGUGAUAUUCUCUGACUCCUCUUUUUGAAACUUCUGGUUAUUUAAUUGAAUUGUGUCAUCCUUAUUCUCCCUGGAAUCAUCUGAUAGACCGUGAUGGCUGCUGUCCUCUUUGAUCGCCUCCAAGGCCGUGGAAAAUGUUCCUAUUUUUGAAGUUGAAGAAGAUUUAACCAGUGUCGAAGCUGACAAUGCUGCCGCUGCAGCAGCAACAUCUGAAGCAAGAUGAGUCAUCUCUGCAGAGCUAUUGAUCCAUUCGGUAGGUUUCUCAACUUUUAUCCGGAAAGCAAUCAAAGCUUCCAUUUGUUUGUUUAAAAUAGCAGCUUCCUUCAUCACUUCUUCCACUUUAGACCUAUAAAACUUGUCCACUUUGUUAAACUCAUCAUCGAGCCUCCUGAAAAAUACCAAUUCAUAUUCUCCACCUUCUUCUGCAACCAUCAGAAAAGUAGUUUGAUAGUUCUCAGAUCCAUCUCGGCGCACUGAGUUCACCAUAAUGGCUUGGUUCUCAACAUCCUGCUCAGAGGGACUGAUGGAAUGGUGGGGUUGUCUCUGAAUGAGCCCACUGAAACUCCUGUAUAGUGAUAGCUUUCGCUUUAGGCUUCUUGGAGGUUCGGGUGGCGUGUCUCUAUGCUUGGAGCGUUGGACAGUUUUCAAAAGGGCCUUCAAAUAAUUAUAAUCCAUGUAUGCUUCCUUCCAUUCCGGCACCAUCUGUGCUUCAAAUUCUUUCCCAAACUUCAUUCUUGGUCUUUUUAAGCAACACAAACUAUCUGAUAUGUGAUGUGAGCAGGAAGUAGGUUUAGAAUGGAAAGGAAAUAUUGGAUGAUCAAACUGAAAAUCCUUGUGCUUAAAGUUUCUGAAAGGAAUGUUGUUUAUACGUGUACUUUUUAGAUCACCAAGAUGAUUUUCUUCUCUCUUUUUUCAAAUUGUGAGUAUCAUCUUAUAAGAGUCUUUAGGUUGAACUUUUCCUAAACAACAGGGCUGCAUGACACAGAUUCAUCCUUUUGUUUUGUUUGGAUGAUUCCAUAAAAGAAAAAUUCCUCAUUUCAUGUAUAAGCUGGACUUGACAAACUGGUUUGAGUGAGAAAAAGUCUGCUGUGAGUACAGUUACUGAAUAUG